CGCGGGGCCCGCAGUGAGGGAGCGUUCCCGGGUCCCCCCGGCCGCCCCCCAGCCUUCCCGCCGCAACCGGGCCCCGCAGUGUCACCCGGGGAGCCCCCAGGGCUCGGGCCGUGCUGGCUUUGCCCGCUUCUCCGCCAUUUCUAGGCCCGAGAAGCCGGGGCCUGGCAGCUGCGGGCCCGCCCAGGCCGCGGUGCAGGCCCGUGUCCCCCGAGCCCCCAGAGUGUCACAGCAGCUCCAGACACCACUUUCAGUUAUUUCCACAGUUCCUACACCUGGGCUGUGCCUACACUGAGAGUGUUGGCCACAUGCAACGAUGUCAGUCAGAGACCAUCCAAGAUAACAUUUUAUAGAUAUUAACGCUGCUCCUCACAGUGUUACUGGGCACACUCGGCAGAGCACACGCAGGUUUGAACAAUCUCACAUUCAAAAUGACUUUCUUCUGGGAACAACUGCAACUACUUUCUUUUUUUCUUUUGGUCAAAAAAAGGAAUUGCUCCAGGCACAGGAUUUUUGCCUCAAAGUGUCCUAUUUCCCUGCUUCAAGGAGAUGAACUUGAGUGUCCACAAGGGAACAGAAGUUCCAAGGACAGCCAAGGGACUGAUACAAAGCCAGUACUCUCAGCAAGUGCAUUAAAAUGGGACAGAGGAGGUUGAGAAUCUUAAAAUAACAGGUGGUGCCGGUGGUCCCUGACCUUCCACAAACACACUUGUCAGCAGGGCAGAUGUGCGAGGCCCAGAUGAAGAUUAACGGGGGAGGAAAGGAAACCCGCUUGUGUCCCUCCCGAUGAACGCUGGCUCUGUGAAGAGCUGGGCUGGCAGUGAGGCUGAAAGCAGCACUGUGGCAGAGGGCAGCGCAUCCCAACACCUGACCACGGGCUCAGUCAGGCGAUCCCAAGGAACAUCCUUCACACCCCAGAAAACAAAACAACAAAAGAAGGAAAAAAGAGGAUAAAAAGAAGGCCCUUUGUGUGGCUGAGAAACUGUUCUGGAUCCAGACCACUGUGAUGGUGCUGCAGGUGCCCUGACGCAGCUCUAAAAUACAAUCUACCCCAUCGAUCGCAAAGUUGCGCCACAAGACUUCAGGCUUCAAAUUAACCCAGCGCACAACUGGGGAGCAAUUUGCUCAGAUCCUGCCAGUGUGCACCAGACCGGAGAGCUGCAAGGUCAGCCGACGGGCAGAGACAGCUCUAGCCCUAAAAAUAACCAGCCUCACUUUGCUGAACACAGGGCUGAAUGCAGCUCAGCGCCGCCAGCUACGACAUGGCCAAUUCCUCCUCUCUUCCCCCCACUGCCCCCUCACCAUUGCCAGGAGAGAUGUGGGGGUGCUGAGCCGCCCUUGCAAGAUGCUGCUGUGGUAGAUCCAGCUCUGGGCUAUGAUUUAAAACCAACUCAGCUCUUCUUGACGAUCAUUUGACACUUCUGUCGUUACCUGCAGACCUGGCAAAAACCAGGACAGGCUGCGAGAAACCCCCCCAGCUGCCUGGCCGGAGGCAGCGCAGCUCCUUCCUGCAGCCUCGUGCACCAAGAAGUCCUGGUUUCUCCCCAGAGUGACUCAGGUGACAAGGCCCAGCAGAUGGACAGAGCUGGCUGCUGCCCGGUGUCACUGUGACUGCACAUGCUUUAAAACACCGCCAGCUGUGUGAUUCUGUGAGCCUGAACUUCGCCUUUGUUCAAAGAAAUUCUAACCCUUUCCCUGUGAAAGGGCAGUCUAAGCACAAAGACAUGUACUAUCCAGGCAGUAUUUUCUCUAUAAACUGGUCAAAAAUAGUUUCUUCUCAAAAACAA